CGAGUAAACAGAGCCACAGGAUGCCGCGAGGCGCUGAGUUUUAGUCCUUCAAUGUGAAACGAUAUGAAUGUUUAGCCGCGAUAAGGAAGCUCACCGUGAAUAAUUUGUACACAGACACGGGGAGUGGGGCACGAGUUAGCAAACACUGAAGACCUUUUAGCAUCUCGGAGCAGCCUGAGAGGCUCCUGAGUGCAAAGAUGCCUGUGCUGCGUUAAGCUAGCAUGCUAAGCUAAGUGCUAGCCUUCACCAACAAACUCGUCCGGACAUGGCAGCGGGAGCCGGAGCCGCUGCCAGCGGCUCUCUGGAGUCCACUUUGGACAGAAAGUUACAAAAUGUGACCAACACCAUGGACUCGAUUCAAGGACUGUCAACGUGGUGCAUCGACAACAAGAAGUACCACAGUGUGAUCGUGCGACACUGGAUGAAGUGCUUGAAGAAAUCUGACGCCUCACACAGGCUCAACCUGCUAUACCUCGCCAAUGACGUCAUCCAGAACUGUAAAAGGAAAAAUGCCAUCGUUUACCGAACAGCAUUCGCCGAGGUGCUUCCAGACGCCUUCCAGCUGGUUAAUUGUGAAGGCGACUCGAAGGUGAUAAAAUCAGCGGAGAGGAUACUGUCCAUCUGGGAGGAGAGAGGUGUGUAUUCGGGGACUCUCAUUACUGACCUUAAGAACGCCCUGAUCAAAGAGGAGUCCCCUUCUGUCACUCCCGUGGAGCAAAAAACUCCAGUCGAGUCUAAAGCUGAUCUACGAUCCAAGGUGGUUGCUGAAUUCGUGCCGCAGGCACUCAUAGACCAGCUGUCCAAGUACAAGAGAUCUCUGGAGGAGGUCGACCUCAGAGAGAAACAGCUGGCAGCUAUGAGGGUUGACAUCUUCAGUUCUGAUGCCCUCAAGAAACUCAAAGAUAAGGCAGGAGGAAAGAAGUUCUCCAAGGACUUUGAGGAAGGAAGCGCACAGCUACAGGAGUUCGUGAAGUUCUUUGAUAAACAAAACAAAAUCCUACCUCAACUCCUGGAGGCACUCACCAACGCAGAUAUCUUCUAUGAGAUGCAGUACAAGGAAGUGAAGAUUGUAGCUAACGCCUACCAAACAUUUGCUAACCGGGUGUCCCACCUCAAGCGUAAGCUGGACACCUUGAAGUCCACCUUGCCCGACCUGGACGAGUCGCCCAUUCCCUCUCCCUCGGCAGACGCUCCAUCUCCAACAGGCUCAGAGUCUCCUUUCCACGGUCUGGAAAUGGCUCACCCUGAUCCAGACCUCGAUGGUUCUGCAAUGGACGAUGACGCAGAGCCGCCAGCCCCGAGCCCUCUGUCCUCCCCGGGGGGGUCUCCCAGAGACACAGAGGCUCUCGGUGAGAAUGACAAUCGCGAGGUGGAGGACAUGGAGCUGUCUGAGGAAGAAAUGGAGAGUGGGGGCAUCAUAGUUGAAGAGCGGACAGAACCCGUUCUCCACCCAGAGGUGCCCGCACCGAUGCCUGCAAAAAGCACGCCAUUAGUAGCGACAGAGCAGCCCAUCAUCACACACAUCUCGCCUCCCAUUGCCGCUCCAGUGGCCGCUCUGGAAAGUGUGGACAUGAAUAAAAUUGGCUCCAUCCUCAACAGCUUAAGCUCAGUCGUGAAGAACACAGCACCGUUAGUGGAGACUCCUCCUGCAGCUGCCCCCACUGUCUCCUCAGUAAAGAGCACGCCUGCUCUCCCUGUGGCAGCACAGGACCCCAGUUCACUGGUUAGUAUCCUCUCCAAGGUAGAAGUGAGUCCUGCAGACCUCCUCAGUGCUCUCUCCAAAGUCCAGGGUCAAAGCAGCCUCGAAGGCAUCACCUCUGUUGUUGGCAGCUCAGCUGACUCCUCCAGUACAGGCAAGAUUACUGCCUCUCCUUCAUCCACAGUUUCAUCAGCGGUACCCUCUCAGAGCUUGCCUCACUCCUUUGGCACAUCUGUGCGUUCCCUAUCCAGCUCUACUGCAAGGCAGAGCUCAAGCACCCAAGCACCCCCCCAGACUUCCAACCCUGCCUCUGCCCUGGUUCAGGCUCUUCAUAGAGACAUGGAUUUGACAACAGAUCCAGAACCAUCCUCUACAAGUUUAGAGUCUAAAAUACACAGCUUCUUGCAGGGAAACCCUGCUUUUAGUUCAUUUGACUUGGUUUUUUCAACAAACCCAACUCUUGGAAGCAAUAAUCAUAGUCCGGUUACUGGCACAGACACCCAGGAUGGGACACCUGUGCGGGACGAGGGAGGAGGCACGCCUACUCAAGAUGAGAUUAUGGACAAGCCAAUGGUGGUUCCAUUUGCUCCCAAGUUAAAUCAGUCAUCUGUUGAAUCUGCAAUAAUGGCUCCUGUUGCAUACCAGAAUAGCACACAGCCGAACCCCAACAAUCCUCAACAGUCUGCUCACCUGCAGCCAGGUGUGGCUCAGAAUGGGCAGAUCUACCAGCCGUACCCGUUUGGCAAACAGGAGAUCUCUGAACAUGGGAUUACUGCACCGGUUGGACAUUACCAGCAGAUUUCUGCACAGACAGGAGGGCCAGUGCCUGGAGAAAGAGCCCCAGGCAGUGCCGGUAACACACAGACUGCUGACAGCUUUCAUGGGCCUAGUGAAAGGAGUUGGUACGGUGACACUUACCCAGAGGGGAGCUCUCAGCAACCCAGCGGCUAUAAUGUGCCUGGAGGGGCUCAAGAAAACAACACAUCCGGACUUUAUCCGUACCAAGCUGAGCAAACUCGGGAACCUCAAGAGCUGCUCUCCCAGCAGGGGGGCACCCCAUUACAUGGUUUCUUUAAAGGCAAUCUUCCUCCUGUCCCAAGGUUACCUCCCCCUCCUCGUGGUUUUGAGGUUUCCCUUUCAUCGGCAAGCAAUUCGAUGAUUCCUCCAGAGCAGCAGCCGAUUCCCGGCACAGACUCUGGAGAUGUGCUCGGGGCCAGAACUGAGAGUGGCAUCAGUGGGAUGGUGGUCCAUGAUCAUCAACACAAAUCCCUGUAUCAUCCUGAUGAACAUCUGUAUGACACUGACCAGCAUCCGCCACAUCACCCUGAGGAUUUACAUCACCACUCAGAUGACCGGCAUUACCAGGGGGACCUCGAGCGGCACCACGACGAACUGCUCCAGCACGAGCCCCCUUACUUCCAAGACAAUCCUUAUCACGGCCCAGAUGAUCCGUAUUACAGACCAGGGAGCCCUCCACACCACUAUCCCCGAGUUCGAGGCCGCCUCACUCCUCCACUCUCAAACUCAGAGGAGCCUUACUACGCCCACGACUACCCGCAUCACAGCCCCCAUGGUCCGCACUACCCUCCUAGGAGACCACCACCUCAUCACGAAAUCCGUCAUCCCGGUCUACGACCUCCUCAUCGACCUCCUCACCCUGCACAUCACCCACACCCCAGAGGACCUCCUCGCCCCCCAUUUCCUCGAUUUCAAGGCCCUGACCCGAGGUUUAGAGGCAAACGUCCAGGUCUAAGACCAGGGGGCCCAAUGUUCCCCCCUAAAAGACCCUUUAUGCCCCCACGGUACUGACUGAGCAUGUAGCCCUGAGACUGCUCACAGUCAAAAGUCUUGGAGGUCAUAAAAGCCUCCUAAAAACUGAAAUGGAGACUGCAGGUGGAUGAAUGUGCAGUUAUUGCACUGGGGUGGGCACGAUGUGGCAAAGCUGAACUGAAGAAGAAUGAAUUCAGCAGCUUUCAGAAGAAAAAAACUUUAAAUGCAGAAGGAAAAAAGGGUGUGUGGAAGACAGAACACGGUGCCUCUGAGAGGGUUGCUGAGCUGAAGAGCGAAGACAGAAGAUUAAAGAAGAUAAGAGGGAUCCAGAGCCACACUUUGAUGUGUCUGAUGUGAUGGAAACCUUUCCCCCACGUGUUAACUGAUGAAGAUGGUGGCGGCUCCUCUCUUUGAAUCCUGCACCGCUUGCAGUGAUGGCUCUUCACGGCCUGUUAUGAACGCUGUGCACCGGUAAGGCUUUCAGUUUAAUGGCUACAUCAGAAACUAAGUGCCACCAGCAGGAAAUCAAAACAAUCAAUACAGAGUGGGGGGAAAAUAAAAUGUUGAAAUUGGUUCUAUUUUUUCCCUUCUGUGUGUGUGUGUGAGGAAACACAGGAAAGGAGGACGGCUGGACAUAGAGGACCAUGUGAGUACCGCCAGGAUUAUUAAUAACCUUAUAAAUAAUUACAGCUAUUUUAUUGCCUUCUCUUUACAUUGCUUUAAACAAAUCUGUGCUUUUCAUGCUUCCAACAUGUACAGAUACCCAUUAAAUACAUGUUUUUGUGGAAUAAAUGAUCGCUGUGCAAAUGAAAACAAAACACAGCGUUGUUGUCUGGUCAUUUCCUGACAGUAUUUAACAAACAAGCAUCUCCAUAAGCUCAGUUUAAGGCAACUACAAAGUUGCACUUUAGUUUAAAAAUGUCUCAAUUUUAACCAGACUUUGAAAUUUUUUGUUGUAAGAGACAAAAUUCAAAGAGAGUGUCUUUUAUGACCUUUGAUGAACGUUGAGUUUGAGACCCAUUUCUGGAGCAUUUAAAUCUUCCAGGAAACAUUUGUGUAAUUAAGUUACAGUCAUUGUGGGAGUCCAUUACACCUGCACUAAAGAACAAUUUUGAUUGGAUCAAUUAGUAUUUCCAUUUCAGAUUGCUUUCACUUUCCAGCUGACCCCUCUUUUGUAUUUGUUGGUGAAACCUUUGUACCAUAGCAUCCAUAUAACAGCUCUGCUUUUCUAAUAAAAGGUACAAAAGACAUAAACAUCUUUAUUUCUGCUACAUUUGUUCAAAAAUCUUUAUAGUCAAACCAUUUUAUCUUCUUAAAACAGUGUUGCCAAAUAUAUGAAGUGGGGUUUUUUUGUUUGUUUUAUUUUUUUUAAAAUGGGUUUGUUUAUUUAAUCCAGUUAGAUCUAAUUCAGAACAUCAGUUUUGGCAACCGCCAUCAUCACUGACCCUGUGCUAUAAGAAUAUUUGGGUUUUUGGCUUUUGAAAAUGGUUCUUCAAUGUCUUUAAAAUCAAGG